rnacentral:sRNA from 1 species
GUAAAUGGGAAGUUCCCGGGACCUCGUGUUAUUGCCAGAGAAGGAGACAGAUUGGUGGUUAAGGUGGUGAACCAUGUUCCAAACAACAUCACCAUUCAUUGGCACGGAGUGAGACAGCUACGUAGUGCAUGGUCGGAUGGACCAUCUUACAUAACUCAAUGUCCGGUACAAAGUGGUCAGAGUUAUGUGUACAACUUCAGC